rnacentral:rRNA from 1 species
AAUCCUCUAGGCCGAAUAUCCAAGGUUUCCAGGGUAAAGCUGAUCUGCCCUGGGUAAGUCGGGGCCUAAGGCGAGGACGAGAGUCGUAGCCGAUGGACAACAGGUUGAGAUUCCUGUACUGCAGUAAGACAGAACUGUGGGGACACGUGUGGAGAGCAUAGGCGCGGAAUGGAAAGCCGCGUGCAAGCGAGGUAGGAGUCCUGUAGGAAAAACCGCAGGGCAAUCCGAAGGCGUGAUGCGGACCGAAAUCUAGUAGGGAAGUAUGUGAGCCAUGCGUCAAGAAAAGCCGCUAUUGUUCUUAUUGUACCCGUACCGUAAACCGACACAGGUGGAUGAGGAGAGAAUCCUAAGGCCGGCGGAAGAAGCAUUGUCAAGGAACUCGGCAAAAUGACCCCGUAACUUCGGGAGAAGGGGUGCCUGCGAGAGCAGGCCGCAGAGAAUAGGCUCAAGCAACUGUUUAGCAAAAACACAGGUCUAUGCGAAACCGAAAGGUGAGGUAUAUGGGCUGACGCCUGCCCGGUGCUGGAAGGUUAAGAGGAGAGGUUAGCGCAAGCGAAGCUUUGAAUUUAAGCCCCAGUAAACGGCGGCCGUAACUAUAACGGUCCUAAGGUAGCGAAAUUCCUUGUCGGGUAAGUUCCGACCCGCACGAAAGGCGUAAUGAUUUGAGCGCUGUCUCGACAAUGCAUCCGGUGAAAUUGAAGUACCAGUGAAGAUGCUGGUUACCUGCGCCAGGACGGAAAGACCCCAUGGAGCUUUACUCCAGCUUGAUACUGGGAUUCGAUAUUGUAUGUACAGGAUAGGUGGGAGGCGAAGAAGCAUUGACGCCAGUUGAUGCGGAGCCGCUGUUGGGAUACCACCCUUGCAGUAUUGGAUUUCUAACCAGCAGCCGUGACCCGGCUGGGGGACAAUGUCAGGUGGGGAGUUUGACUGGGGCGGUCGCCUCCGAAAGGGUAUCGGAGGCGCUCAAAGGUUCCCUCAGAAUGGUUGGAAACCAUUCGAAGAGUGCAAAGGCAGAAGGGAGCUUGACUGCGACACCGACGGGUGGAGCAGGUACGAAAGUAGGACUUAGUGAUCCGGUGGUAUAAAGUGGGAUUGCCAUCGCUCAACGGAUAAAAGCUACCCUGGGGAUAACAGGCUUAUCACUCCCAAGAGUUCACAUCGACGGAGUGGUUUGGCACCUCGAUGUCGGCUCAUCGCAUCCUGGGGCUGUAGUAGGUCCCAAGGGUUGGGCUGUUCGCCCAUUAAAGCGGUACGCGAGCUGGGUUCAGAACGUCGUGAGACAGUUCGGUCCCUAUCCGGCGUGGGCGUAGGAUAUCUGAGAGGAGCUGUCCUUAGUACGAGAGGACCGGGAUGGACGGACCGCUGGUGGACCGGUUGGCUUGCCAAGGCCAUGGCCGGGUAGCCAAGUCCGGAAGGGAUAAACGCUGAAGGCAUCUAAGCGUGAAGCCCCCCUCAAGAUGAGAUAUCCCAUUCUUAGUGAAGUAAACCCCCUUGAAGACGACGAGGUAGAUAGGGCAGAGGUGGAAGUGUGGUAACACAUGGAGCUGACUGUUACUAAUCGGGUGAGGGCUUGACCA